CCCAAGUGCUGGGAUUACAGGUACCCAGGAUCGAACUCAAGACCUUCUGAUUACAAAGCAGGGACUCAAGACGGAUGCCCUAGAGCGGUGCAGAUAAAUGAUAACAAAAGCGAGGCCUUUCUCGGCCAACCGUGGGGGCAAGUUCAGGACGGGCCCGAGAGUCAUCUUGGGGUGAGUGUGGCAGCCCCGAGACCAGGGUGAGUGUUCUCCAGCAAACAAGAGGAGCUAAGCUAGGGCGCUGGUGACCCCGAAGACCUGUGAAGCCCUGGCUCAGUCACAAAGUAGAGCAGGUGACAGAAUCUCCUGCAGAGACUAGGGAGGGACACGAGCUUGAGAGGUGAGUGAGGCCCCUUCCUGUCACAGCCCAAGAGCUUCGGGGACUGAAAAAGCAGCUACAGGAAGGAGCACAAGGUGCAGGUGUUCCCCUGGUGGG
rnacentral:lncRNA from 1 species